AGCAGCCGCGGUAAUUCCAGCUCCAAUAGCGUAUAUUAAAGUUGUUGCAGUUAAAAAGCUCGUAGUUGAAUUUCGAGAUCAAUUUGUUGGUCGUGCCUCGGUACGUACUGGCAAUUUUGAUUUCUCCCUUCUGAAGAACCAUGAUGUCAUUAAUUUGGUGUCAUGGGGAAUCAGGACCGUUACUUUGAAAAAUUAGAGUGUUUAAAGCAGGCUCGCGCUUGAAUACAUUAGCAUGGAAUAAUGAAAUAGGACGUUUGAUUCUAUUUUGUUGGUUUCUAGGAUCGACGUAAUGAUUAAUAGGGAUAGUUGGGGGCAUUAGUAUUCAAUUGUCAGAGUGAAAUUCUUGGAUUUAUUGAAGACUAACUACUGCGAAAG
rnacentral:rRNA from 1 species